ensembl:lncRNA
GUUUACAUGAUGCUAAGAAAAUAGAGGAGGCUGGCAAUCACCAGGGACGUUAUCAAAGUCGUCAUGGUCCCUUGCACCUCACUGGUUCUUUGCAGCCUCCCUGACUAUCCUGGGGCACAGAGCUCAUUGAGAAGACUGAGUAGAAGCCGGCUAAUGACCCAGAUGCCUGUGCACUGACAUUCCCUGCAAAAUCCGGGUAGUUCUUGGCUUCCCGAGUGGAGCAUGAACCUGAGGCUCUUGCUGUUGCUCUGGGUGACGUGCUCGGCGAAUGAGGUGCUGGAAUCUCGGCGGCCAUCUUGUGGUUAUGAAAUACCCAUCACGUGGAAGAAAGAAGAAUUCAGGGAAUCGCAGAGCCCUGGAGCUGGGUCCUAUGAUGUGAUGAGUCUCCGCGCAUGGCAGCUACAUGAACCAAAUAAGACUCCUUGUUCUUCAAAUCUAUCUGAGUCAGGUUUUUUUCCUUUUUAAAAGCCCAAAGUUUUGGAACAGGAAAGUGAGGAUGAUGUCAGACUAUUGAAGAAGCAGGGCUGAGGAGGUUUGAUGGAGAGGGCAGUGAGGACACAUCUAGCCAGUGAAGUUAGCAGCCCUUGUUAGUAAAUGGUAGCAAAAGAACCAUUUAAACUGUUUCUUGCUACAACCUGGGACACAGAAAAUGCCUACCAAGGCUCUCACGUCAGGGAAUUGUGAAAAAAUUAAAUUAAAUUAAAUUAAAUUUAAAAAUCAAGACAUUGGAGUUUUUGAGCUUCUUUUUUACAGGCUUCGACAAGGUUCUGCAAGAGAAAGGUAAAAUGAUUCAAUUUUUGUUGAGACCUUUCCUGAUAUGUUUUCAAAUCUAGUAAAUACCGCUGCCCUGAGGGGCCCACGCACUGAAGAGAUAUGUUUUCAUGCUUCAGGAAAAGAGCGAAUUAUAGCUAGAAAAAGGAAGUCAAUAUUAUUUGUGAGUCACUGGUGAGCAGAUUCUCAAAAGCUAGACAUUAUGGAGAAAGAAAA